ensembl:snoRNA U3 Small nucleolar RNA U3
AAGACUAUACUUUCAGGAAUCGUUCCUGUAGUUUGUUACUAGAGACAUUUCACUGAUUGUGUAGAGUAUCCGAAACCACGAGGAGGAGGCGUAGCAUUCCCUCAUGAGCAUGAAGCUGGCUCUUGGUGCUGCUUUACUGCAACUGCCAUUUGCCAUUGAUGAUCAUUCUCUUCCUUUGGGGAGAGAACACAGUCUGAGUGGC